rnacentral:rRNA from 1 species
UACGGGGGGAGCAAGCGUUGUUCGGAUUUACUGGGCGUAAAGGGCGCGUAGGCGGCGUGACUAGUCACUUGUGAAAUCUCCGGGCUUAACUCGGAACGGUCAAGUGAUACUGUCGUGCUAGAGUACAGAAGGGGCAACUGGAAUUCUCGGUGUAGCGGUGAAAUGCGUAGAUAUCAGGAAGAACACCGAUGGCGAAGGCAGCCCCCUGGGCUAACACUGACGCUCAUGCACGAAAGCGUGGGGAGCAAACAGG